GAUGAACGCUAGCUACAGGCUUAACACAUGCAAGUCGAGGGGCAGCAUGAACUUAGCUUGCUAAGUUUGAUGGCGACCGGCGCACGGGUGAGUAACACGUAUCCAACCUGCCGAUGACUCGGGGAUAGCCUUUCGAAAGAAAGAUUAAUACCCGAUGGCAUAGUUCUUCCGCAUGGUAGAACUAUUAAAGAAUUUCGGUCAUCGAUGGGGAUGCGUUCCAUUAGGUUGUUGGCGGGGUAACGGCCCACCAAGCCUUCGAUGGAUAGGGGUUCUGAGAGGAAGGUCCCCCACAUUGGAACUGAGACACGGUCCAAACUCCUACGGGAGGCAGCAGUGAGGAAUAUUGGUCAAUGGACGAGAGUCUGAACCAGCCAAGUAGCGUGAAGGAUGACUGCCCUAUGGGUUGUAAACU
rnacentral:rRNA from 1 species